CCUACGGGAGGCAGCAGUGAGGAAUAUUGGUCAAUGGACGAGAGUCUGAACCAGCCAAGUAGCGUGAAGGAUGACUGCCCUUCGGGUUGUAAACUUCUUUUAUAUGGGAAUAAAAUGUUCCACGUGUGGGUUUUUGUAUGUACCAUAUGAAUAAGGAUCGGCUAACUCCGUGCCAGCAGCCGCGGUAAUACGGAGGAUCCGAGCGUUAUCCGGAUUUAUUGGGUUUAAAGGGAGCGUAGGUGGAUUGUUAAGUCAGUUGUGAAAGUUUGCGGCUCAACCGUAAAAUUGCAGUUGAAACUGGCAGUCUUGAGUACAGUAGAGGUAGGCGGAAUUCGUGGUGUAGCGGUGAAAUGCUUAGAUAUCACGAAGAACUCCGAUUGCGAAGGCAGCUCACUGGACUGCAACUGACACUGAGGCUCGAAAGUGUGGGUAUCAAACAGGAUUAGAUACCCGAGUAGUC
rnacentral:rRNA from 1 species